UUGUUACCAGAGGAAAAGAGCUUCUACCAGGGAACACAGCAAGAAUCCCAUUAAAGCUCAAGAUUUGACAAUUGUUCAGUCCCUUUAAUCUUCUUGUGCCAUGAGAGUAGCAUGCAAGGAAAGAAGUCAUCAACUUGGAAAAUGAUUGUGACUGUCUAGAGGAGCAGAAAUGAGGACAGGAAGGCUGCCCUUCUGAACCUCCUCUCUGUCAAAGGACUUCUAGGGAUUUCCAGCAUGUGGAGGAAGAUCAGAAAGUCUCCACGGAACUUCUGCCAAGCUGCUGGAGUCACAGACUCUUCCCACACUCCCCCUGGGCCUCGUCAGUUCUUAUCAAGGAUGCAGGGGCGGCGGCGGCAGCCUUUCCACUUCAGAAAAGGAAGCCAGUGAAGCACGGGGGAAAGAAACCUAACACUGGAAAGCAAGGGCUCCUAUCAAAUGUCAGUUGUUCUGUCUCUGACCAUCCAAGAGGCUAAGGACUGAAGCCUCUUGUGGCUAAGGGUGGCUUCUGACAUGCGCAUCACUGUUUCCCCAAUGCCUGGUGUAUAGAAGCUAAUCAAUAAAAAAUCACUGAUGGAGUAUUCCAGUGACCAGUCCAAAAGGUGAGGGUAGUAACCCUUUGGAGGACUAUGGAGCAGAAACCAAUCACCACAGAAAUGGGGAUGAGGAAUCUGAUAUGUUUGAGGUGUUUCUAUAGCAGAAGAACUUGACCAGUAAUGGAUGCACCUACUCUGCCAACCUAAAACAGCAUCCCUCAUCAUGAGUGCAUCUGAGGAUCAGACAGAAAGCUCUGUUGGUAAAAUGAACAUUUAUACAAAUAUUGAUGGGCCAUGAAGAUAACACCAAUCCAAGGAAAAAAAAUACUGCCAAAUGGUAAGUAAUAUGGUAUUUACAAAGUGUGGAUUGUCUAUAGACCAUGAAAAUCAGAACAUAUUUUUAAAAUGAGCAAAACAGGAAACUAAAGAUGAAAGUGCUUAUUCAUUAAAUCUUGUUUCUGAGUUCAGCUACAAAGUUCAUUGCAAAGCCAGUAUCCUUGCCUCCAAAUACGAUUCAGAAUGCCCAUGUUUUAAAGAGCUCUGAGAUUUGCUCUGAGUAAAUCCUUAGACACUGCUUCAGUUUAUCCAGUCUGGGUUUCUGUAUCUGCCUCUAAGAACUGUUAGGAAAAAAUAGACCUAUGAGACAAAGACUUUUCAGCUUCUCCCAUCUCAUCUUGAUCUCCAGUUUGCCGUUUGUACUGAUACCACCUGUGUUGUUCACGGAAUUCGCCUUCUUCUGGAAUGACAAAUGUCUCAAACCUACAUAACUGGACAACAAAAGGCUUAAUCCUCUCUUCUUUUCAAAUAGCAUUUGGACUUCAUCUUCUUUUUCAGCUAUGGCUCAGUUAUCGACUGGGCUGUUGCAGCUUCCCCAGACAACUUUUAUUUUGUGAGUGGGAGGCUUAGAUAACCGGGAAUACUUAAUUAAAUGCAAUAUAUUUUCCCAAUGAAUCCUCUAUGGGGCAUUCAAUUUUUAAUAGCAUCUUAAGCUUAACUCUGGGACAACUGGUCGUGUAUUUACUAACAGGCAGAUUC